rnacentral:rRNA from 1 species
GACGAACGCUGGCGGCGUGCUUAACACAUGCAAGUCGAACGGAAAGGCCCUGCUUUUGUGGGGUGCUCGAGUGGCGAACGGGUGAGUAACACGUGAGUAACCUGCCCUUGACUUUGGGAUAACUUCAGGAAACUGGGGCUAAUACCGGAUAGGAGCUCCUGCUGCAUGGUGGGGGUUGGAAAGUUUCGGCGGUUGGGGAUGGACUCGCGGCUUAUCAGCUUGUUGGUGGGGUAGUGGCUUACCAAGGCUUUGACGGGUAGCCGGCCUGAGAGGGUGACCGGCCACAUUGGGACUGAGAUACGGCCCAGACUCCUACGGGAGGCAGCAGUGGGGAAUAUUGCACAAUGGGCGGAAGCCUGAUGCGGCAGCGCCGCGUUCGGGAUGACGGCCUUCGGGUUGUAAACCGCUUUCGCCUGUGACGAAGCGUGAGUGACGGUAAUGGGUAAAGAAGCACCGGCUAACUACGUG